CACGUAGGGAGCAAGCGUUGUCCGGAUUUAUUGGGCGUAAAGAGCUCGUAGGUGGUUCGGUAAGUCGGGUGUGAAAACUCUGGGCUCAACUCAGAGACGCCACCCGAUACUGCUGUGACUCGAGUCUGGUAGGGGAGUGUGGAAUUCCUAGUGUAGCGGUGAAAUGCGUAGAUAUCGUGAGGAAUACCAGAGGCGAAGGCGGCUACCUGGACAAUUGCUGACGCUCAGGCACGAAAGCGUGGGGAGCAAAAGGG
rnacentral:rRNA from 1 species